rnacentral:rRNA from 1 species
GAGUUUGAUCCUGGCUCAAAACGAACGCUGGCGGCAGGCCUAACACAUGCAAGUCGAGCGCGCCCUUCGGGGUGAGCGGCGGACGGUUUAGUAACGCGUGGGAAUAUACCCUUUGGUACGGAAUAGCCUCUGGAAACGGAGAGUAAUACCGUAUGUGCCCUUCGGGGGAAAGAUUUAUCGCCAAAGGAUUAGCCCGCGUUAAAUUAGGUAGUUGGUGGGGUAAUGGCCUACCAAGCCUACGAUCUAUAGCUGGUUUUAGAGGAUGAUCAGCAACACUGGGACUGAAACACGGCCCAGACUCCUACGGGAGGCAGCAGUGGGGAAUCUUGGACAAUGGGGGCAACCCUGAUCCACCCAUGCCGGGUGAGUGAUGAAGGCCCUAGGGUCGUAAAGCUCUUUCGCCAGAGAUGAUAAUGACAGUAUCUGGUAAAGAAACCCCGGCUAACUCUGUGCCAGCAGCCGCGGUAAUACAAAGGUGGCUAGCGUUGUUCGGAUUUACUGGGCGUAAAGGGUGCGUACGCGGCUUUGUAUGUCGGACGUGAAAGCCCACGGCUCAACCGUGGAAUUGCAUCCGAAACUGCAGG